UGAGAGCAGCACCCAUUUGCACACAGUGCAGCCCCAGGCCUGGCAUUUCAGCCUCUUUCAGGGAAUAAAUGCAGUGACAGAGCGAGAGUAAGGCAGAGACACAGGAAGAGUCAGGGACAGAUGGAUUUAAAGACUGACCCAGACCCAGCCACCCAGGCCAGGUGGAGACUCAAGGGACAGUGACACCUUUGUGUCCAGAUUGACCUGAGCUCACGGAUGAGCCUUGAGAUGUGAGGAUUAUUCACAGGAGCCUGCGUCACUACAAACAGUCCAUGGAGUUGUCUGGCACCAGGCCGAGUGGAGGUGCUUUUCCCGGAGUGCAGGAUGGGGGCAGCAUGGCAUUGGGUGCAGGGUCCACAUUCUCUGAAUCCUCCAUUUUCUCAGCACAUCCCUCCCAGUUUAUGUGAAAUCUGGUUACACGUGGGUUGGAAGCCAGAAUGUUCCUCUGGAGCUGAAAGCAAGCAGAUGAAAAGGGCUUUGAAUACACACUUUAAUUUUACAGGGAUGCAAAUUCAUCAGGGAUGGGAAAAAGUGAUGGUAAUACAACACCCCCCUAGGGAAAAGUUGUAAAACAUAUCUUCACAAAUUUUUAUUUACAAUCAAUUUUAGCAUGUUGUCUCAGGCCACAUUAACACUUCUGUUUUUAUAGAAACCAUUCAAUGUUAAUAAAAGCCUGUUUCUGCCGCAGAAUAACAAAAAUAAAGGUAAUUGCAACAUUUUAUCUGUCGUUUUGCACGCAAUUCAGCGAUAAGUCAGAUAUGCGAGAUAUACACAAUAUAAUUAUUUUUUUCUAAUUCUUUGGCAGAAACAGGCUUCUAUAAACAUAACUAUAAAAUAAUAAAAAUUGUGUAAUUGUUUUUAUUUGAUUACAUUUCAUACCUUUAUUAUACAAAUGUUUAUUAUUUUACAAAAAAUGUUAUUUUGUUCAUUUAAAUCUCAAAGCACUGCAAGUUAAAGAGCCAGUAAGAUGAAAAUUCUAAGCUUCCUAUCAGUGUUUAUAAGUCCUGUACAAUAGGUUUAAAUCCAUCCAAGGUUAAAAAAACAUUGUAAUUUUGUCAAAAUAUCAUUUUAAAAUUACCUCAAUUCUCAGAGAUCCCCAAACGGUUCGCGCAAAGCUGUUCAAAAGAUUAAAUUUCCUUAAACCCCACCUUUCGGUUGCAUACUGUGUUCUGAUUGGUCAACUAACAUAGUUAGGUUUGAUUGGUUGUUCUGCACACACCUCCACGGUAAACUAUGCGUUAGCAUCUGUUUGGGGUGAAUUAUGUCUUAUUCCUAUCAUCGCGAAGCAAACAGUAAAAUAAAAAACUUGAACAGUC